rnacentral:tRNA from 1 species
GGAAGAUUAGUUAAAAAUAUAAUGUGUGCUUGUCGAGUACUUGUUGCUACUUCAUGUAGCAUUUUCUG